rnacentral:rRNA from 1 species
UACGAAGGGGGCUAGCGUUGCUCGGAUUUACUGGGCGUAAAGGGCGCGUAGGCGGACAGUUUAGUCAGAGGUGAAAGCCCAGGGCUCAACCUUGGAAUUGCCUUUGAUACUGGCUGUCUUGAGUACGGGAGAGGUGAGUGGAACUCCGAGUGUAGAGGUGAAAUUCGUAGAUAUUCGGAAGAACACCAGUGGCGAAGGCGACUCACUGGCCCGUUACUGACGCUGAGGCGCGAAAGCGUGGGGAGCGAACAGG